UGGGGAAUAUUGCGCAAUGGGGGGAACCCUGACGCAGCCAUGCCGCGUGAAUGAAGAAGGCCUUAGGGUUGUAAAGUUCUUUCGGUAUUGAGGAAGGUUGAUGUGUUAAUAGCACAUCAAAUUGACGUUAAAUACAGAAGAAGCACCGGCUAACUCCGUGCCAGCAGCCGCGGUAAUACGGAGGGUGCGAGCGUUAAUCGGAAUAACUGGGCGUAAAGGGCACGCAGGCGGUUAUUUAAGUGAGGUGUGAAAGCCCCGGGCUUAACCUGGGAAUUGCAUUUCAGACUGGGUAACUAGAGUACUUUAGGGAGGGGUAGAAUUCCACGUGUAGCGGUGAAAUGCGUAGAGAUGUGGAGGAAUACCGAAGGCGAAGGCAGCCCCUUGGGAAUGUACUGACGCUCAUGUGCGAAAGCGCGGGGAGCAAACAGGAUUAGAUACCCUGGUAGUCCACGCUGUAAACGCUGUCGAUUUGGGGGUUGGGGUUUAACUCUGGCGCCCGUAGCUAACGUGAUAAAUUGACCGCCUGGGGAGUACGGCCGCAAGGUUG
rnacentral:rRNA from 1 species